rnacentral:rRNA from 1 species
GGGUCAGUAGGUUGGUCGUGCCACCGGUACGUACUGGUCUCACUGAUUCCUCCUUCCUGAAUAACCGUAAUGCCAUUAAUUUUGUGUUGCGGGGAAACAGGACUGUUACUUUGAAAAAAUUAGAGUGUUUAAAGCAAGCUAACGCUUAAAUACAUUAGCAUGGAAUAAUGAAAUAGGACGAUCGAUCCUAUUUUGUUGGUUUCUAGUAUUGACGUA